rnacentral:rRNA from 1 species
AGCAGCCGCGGUAAUUCCAGCUCCAAUAGCGUAUAUUAAGGUUGUUGCAGUUAAAAAGCUCGUAGUUGAAUUUCGGGAUUAAUUUAUUGGUCGUGCUAUUGUACGUACUGGUAUUAUUGAUUCCUACCUUCUGACGAACCAUGAUGUCAUUAAUUUGGUGUCAUGGGGAAUCAGGACUGUUACUUUGAAAAAUUAGAGUGUUUAAAGCAGGCUCACGCUUGAAUACAUUAGCAUGGAAUAACGAAAUAGGACGUUUGACUCUAUUUUGUUGGUUUCUAGGAUCGACGUAAUGAUUAAUAGGGAUAGUUGGGGCAUUAGUAUUCAAUUGUCAGAGGUGAAAUUCUUGGAUUUAUUGAAGACUAACUACUGCGAAAGCAUUUGCCAAGGAUGUUUUCAUUAAUCAAGAACGAAAGUUAGGGGAUCGAAGACGAUCAGAUACCGUCGUAGUCU